rnacentral:rRNA from 1 species
AGUGAACGCUGGCGGUAGGCCCAACACAUGCAAGUCGAACGGCAGCACAGUAAGAGCCUGCUCUUACGGGUGGCGAGUGGCGGACGGGUGAGGAAUACAUCGGAAUCUACUUUUUCGUGGGGGAUAACGUAGGGAGACUUACGCUAAUACCGCAUACGACCUACGGGUGAAAGCAGGGGAUCUUCGGACCUUGCGCGAUUGAAUGAGCCGAUGUCGGAUUAGCUAGUUGGCGGGGUAAAGGCCCACCAAGGCGACGAUCCGUAGCUGGUCUGAGAGGAUGAUCAGCCACACUGGAACUGAGACACGGUCCAGACUCCUACGGGAGGCAGCAGUGGGGAAUAUUGGACAAUGGGCGCAAGCCUGAUCCAGCCAUACCGCGUGGGUGAAGAAGGCCUUCGGGUUGUAAAGCCCUUUUGUUGGGAAAGAAAAGCAGCAGGUUAAUACCCCGCUGUUCUGACGGUACCCAAAGAAUAAGCACCGGCUAACUUCGUG